CCAGGAGUGCCCACGAGAGGAGACGGGUCGGGGAAGGCCUCUGACGACGUGCUAUUUGAGGGAAGACUGCAAGAUUCGGGAAAGGAAGCCAGAGGCGGCCCCGUCUGUGCUUUGCUUUUCUCUGUCACUCCCCGUGCGCAACCUGUCAGCGAUGCUUGUCUCCACCUCCAGAACCAAGCCACUUCUGAGCGUCUCCACCACCUCCCACCUGGGCACCUUCUUUCCACCCUCGACCUCCCCUACUCCCAUCGACUCUCCACUCAGCAGCCAGAGGCGUCCGUUCUGGAAGGCAGGUGUCAUCCUUCCCCUGCUGUCCAGGACUUGGGAAAUGACAUGUGUUUUGUGAGCCUCAGUCUCUUCAUCUGUGAAAUGGGAGUAACCCGGCCGACCCUGANNNNNNNNNNNNGGGGGGGGGGGGGGGGGGGGUGGUCAGUGUGGCAGGGAUGUGAAGGCAGCCAUGGUGGGAGCAAAUCUGGAGUUUGCCUCUACGGGUUGGGGGGGGCGGCGCCCUGGGUGUGCGAGGUUCCCCUGGCGGGCAUCGGUCUCAUGGAAGCCCCAGCGACUCCACUGCGUUCCCAGAGGCAGAGAGUAAGUGGGCCAGGGUCACUCUGCCAGGGCAUGCCGGAACCUGCAGGGACCCAGCUCUGCAGGGCAGCGGCCCUGCCUGGGCUCUGCUCCUCUUCCCAGAACCCUGGGCUGGCGUCAGCGGGCAGGCCGGCCAGGCUGCCUUUGUGUGGGGCCCGUUAGGAGGCUGGAGUUGCCAACCACCUAGUUUUCUGGGCAGCAGGAACCAUUUGGAGUUAGAGGCCUCAGCCAUGGAGCCAGAACAAUAAAAAUAAAAAUAGCGAGGACUCCCGGGCAGCCUGGACCAGGGCACCAACUGCCCCAGAGAGAUGUUCCUGAGGAGCUGGCGAGAAAGCAUGGCGGGGGCAGGCGGGGGGUUGGAGGUGGGGGGGUCCUUGCCCUGCGUCUGCUCUGCUCCCCGACCUGUAUCGUGGGGUAUGGCCAAGGCUCCCCGCAGCCAUUUUAUAGCUGCAGAAACUAAAGCUCAGGGGGUUGGAGUGACUUGCCCGGGACACACAGCUAGUGAGUGGCUGAGCCAGUUUAGGAUUCGAACUCAGUUCCCCAGAUUAAUAGCGGUUCCCCUUUGUUCCGCAGCUCCUCUGCUUGCCGGGCCUGUGCCUGUGACAUAUUCGGACCACACCUAGGAGAGGUACCAAGCGUUGCCUUUGUUUUGCAGAUGGAGGUCUCUGCCCACAUCGCAGGUCACCUUGUGGGCCCCCCCCGUGACAACAGCCACCUCUCCCAACCCCCAGAGCGCUCCGCCCCUUCCCAGCUUUAUUUUGUCUCCCUAGCGUGCCUCCUGACCUGCCAGCGUUGGGGGGGGGGGGAUCGUCAUUGCAUUUUGUCCGUUUUCUCGAGUAGCCACAGGUCAACCUGGCCCACCGUGGUCCAGUGCCUGGCUGACGCACAUCCUGGGGUUCAGACGUCAGCGCUGCACAGACAGUGCCUCACUUGCCCAGACUGGCGAUUCACGGAAGCGUACCUACUAAAAGGUCUCUUGCAAGGGAUGAGUUCAUAGAGCAAAAGAUAUUGCUGGUUGCUGUUGUUUCC
rnacentral:lncRNA from 1 species